rnacentral:rRNA from 1 species
AUACGGAGGAUCCGAGCGUUAUCCGGAUUUAUUGGGUUUAAAGGGAGCGUAGGCGGACGCUUAAGUCAGUUGUGAAAGUUUGCGGCUCAACCGUAAAAUUGCAGUUGAUACUGGGUGUCUUGAGUACAGUAGAGGCAGGCGGAAUUCGUGGUGUUGGGGUGAAAUGCUUAGAUAUCACGAAGAACUCCGAUUGCGAAGGCAGCCUGCUGGACUGUAACUGACGCUGAUGCUCGAAAGUGUGGGUAUCAAACAGGAUUAGAUACCCUGGUAGUCCACACAGUAAACGAUGAAUACUCGCUGUUUGCGAUAUACAGUAAGCGGCCAAGCGAAAGCGUUAAGUAUUCCACCUGGGGAGUACGCCGGCAACGGUGAAACUCAAAGGAAUUGACGGGG